rnacentral:rRNA from 1 species
UAGGGAAUCUUCGGCAAUGGGGGCAACCCUGACCGAGCAACGCCGCGUGAGUGAAGAAGGUUUUCGGAUCGUAAAGCUCUGUUGUAAGAGAAGAACGUGUGUGAGAGUGGAAAGUUCACACAGUGACGGUAACUUACCAGAAAGGGACGGCUAACUACGUGCCAGCAGCCGCGGUAAUACGUAGGUCCCGAGCGGUGUCCGGAUUUAUUGGGCGUAAAGCGAGCGCAGGCGGUUUAAUAAGUCUGAAGUUAAAGGCAGUGGCUUAACCAUUGUUCGCUUUGGAAACUGUUAAACUUGAGUGCAGAAGGGGAGAGUGGAAUUCCAUGUGUAGCGGUGAAAUGCGUAGAUAUAUGGAGGAACACCGGUGGCGAAAGCGGCUCUCUGGUCUGUAACUGACGCUGAGGCUCGAAAGCGUGGGGAGCAAACAGG